rnacentral:lncRNA from 1 species
AAAAAACAAAAAGCAAGCCAAAAUACAAAACUCCUGCCUUUUGUCUUUGCAGAGCACAGUAUUCAAGACUUGGUCUGUAUUUGCUGUCCUCUUGCUGCCAGUAAAAUCAGAUUUGUCUGCUCAUCUGUCUGGUGUGAUAUUUUUCUUCAAUAGGGUGUAUAUGCUGCUUUGAAACUGAGUAGGAGACAUAUGGGGGCCGUGCAUUUGUACCAGUUACUUCAGG